rnacentral:lncRNA from 1 species
UACACAUUUCAUUUUAAAAACUAUCAUACAAAAAAAUUCUCAAAGCUGCUAAAAAAGUUCACUGGUUUCCACUGGAAAAAUUUCAUAAGUAACUCAUCUAGAGUAAAACAGAACAUGUAGUAUUACAAAUGUUAGGUUUUAACACUACCAAUGCAGUUAAUUUGUGUGAAAUCUACCUAGUAAAAAGACUAUUUUUCAUAGAACCAAUACAUGUUUCUCCCCCUAAUCUUGUAGAGCCAUGAGCUACAGACAAGCUUCUCAUCAAAGUUCAGUUCAAACAGGCUCUGAGCAGGAGACAACCUUUAGGUAGCGGUCCUCCCCUCACAGUGUCUUUCAAAUGCUUCUGCCAUACUUUUUAAUGGAGCCAGGAUGUGCAGAAUAUGAGUGUGGGAAGACUGAACGUUUUUUUUAACAGGACAUACAACAUUUGCUUCCUUCUUUAAAAAAAAAAUGGUGUUUGCAUAAUUAAAAUAAAAUUUACUGUAAAGAUUUCAGAAAUAAAGUUUGAUGAAAAAAGACAACAUAAAACCAACCAUGUGUGUAGGUAUGUAUAUAUACAAUUACAUAACUAUAUCUACAUGCAUACUUUUUAUAACAAGAGUAAGAACUGUAUCAAUGUCUUUAAUUCUUUAAAUUCUAUUAUUCCAAGCUUGUAGAGGAAUAUGCUAGAUUCUUUUUUCUUACUAAAAGGCUUCAUUCAUUUAAUAAAAGAGGAAUCAGAACUUACAAUUUAUUUCCUUGAAUUAACAGAGAAAUAUCUUUCAUUUACCAAUUGUGUAAAUAAUGCCUGAGUGACAGAAACAUGCAGAAUAAUUUCACAAUGGAAAUAUCCAGAGUAUAAAAAACAAGUUUGAACUCAGGCACAUUUUACCUAAGCAAUUAAUUUCUAAACAUAGCUGCCUUCAUCAGUUGUGUAACCACUGGGUAGGAGUCCUAAUCUAUCAGAAAGGGAGAAGUUGCAACAGACAAUAUGACAGAAUUCAUUCAGAGACUGUCUGGCCCAUAUAUGAUCGUGCACUUCUCCAUGGUCCCCUACCUCCUUUUUGUCUCUUCCCACAGCAAGCAGAAACGGAACUAGGUCACUCUGGCCGCCACCCUCAAACACAUACU